UACGUAGGGUGCAAGCGUUGUCCGGAAUUAUUGGGCGUAAAGAGCUCGUAGGCGGUUUGUUGCGUCGGCUGUGAAAUCCCGAGGCUCAACCUCGGGUCUGCAGUCGAUACGAGCAAACUAGAGUGUUGCAGGGGAGACUGGAAUUCCAGGUGUAGCGGUGAAAUGCGUAGAUAUCUGGAGGAAUACCGGUGGCGAAGGCGGCAUCCUGGACCGACAUUGACGCUGAGGAGCGAAAGCUAGGGGAGCAAACGGG
rnacentral:rRNA from 1 species